UAGGGAAUCUUCGGCAAUGGACGAAAGUCUGACCGAGCAACGCCGCGUGAGUGAAGAAGGUUUUCGGAUCGUAAAACUCUGUUGGUAGAGAAGAACGUUGGUGAGAGUGGAAAGCUCAUCAAGUGACGGUAACUACCCAGAAAGGGACGGCUAACUACGUGCCAGCAGCCGCGGUAAUACGUAGGUCCCCGAGCGUUGUCCGGAUUUAUUGGGCGUAAAGCGAGCGCAGGUGGUUUAUUAAGUCUGGUGUAAAAGGCAGUGGCUCAACCAUUGUAUGCAUUGGAAACUGGUAGACUUGAGUGCAGGAGAGGAGAGUGGAAUUCCAUGUGUAGCGGUGAAAUGCGUAGAUAUAUGGAGGAACACCGGUGGCGAAAGCGGCUCUCUGGCCUGUAACUGACACUGAGGCUCGAAAGCGUGGGGAGCAAACAGGAUUAGAUACCCUGGUAGUCCACGCCGUAAACGAUGAGUGCUAGAUGUAGGGAGCUAUAAGUUCUCUGUAUCGCAGCUAACGCAAUAAGCACUCCGCCUGGGGGAGUACGACUGC
rnacentral:rRNA from 1 species